AUGGAUAUCUCUUAGAAAUCAUUUAUCCAUGAGAUUGGCUGGGGACUUUAUUGACGCUAUCCUCGGCGAUGGAGAAGAAAGAAGUAGCCGACAGAGAAAAAAUCGCAUGCUUAGAGGGCUGGCGUGACGAGGAGUGAGCUUAGAGGAUUGAGUCUUGGUCGAUUCUCAUAAAUCUGAACUGGGCAUUGUUCUUCUUCCCUCCAAAUCUUUAGGGGAUUGUGUUUUUACGGGGAAGGAAAUGACAAAGCUUCAUUUAUGCUGGAGUCGAGGUAAUUGCAAAUCGGACACCUUAGUAAGAAAUGUGUGCUAAUAGAAGGGGUGGGCGUUUACCAUUCUUUGGGUGUGAUACCCUAAAAACGAAAAGAGUGGAGAGGCGUCGGCGCUCAAAUUCUCAAGAUUAUUGUGCAGUAGUUAUGUUAUGGUGAGGGCCCAGGAUGAUAGUCCAUCCUUAUUCAUGGUUCGAGGACUGAUUUAGUAGAGACAUUGAGAUAGAUUUUCUUGCUAUCAGUGUCUCUGAGUUAUUACGGGCGUGUUUCAAAAAACUCAAAA